GAGAACGAAGACAAAAGUUACGAGGGAAAACAAGCAAAAAAAAAUCAGAAAAAAGGGGCACGGGACAAGAAAGUCGUUGAUAAAUACGCCCAGCGCGCAGUCACACACAACAAAAUGGUGAACUGCGGCAUAUUACGGCGCGAUCAAGAAGCCUCCGGCGUUGGACCCCAACGCAGGCAAGACAUCAUCAGAUUGUCUUCUUUCAUUUGUUUUGUUUUGUCUGUGGUUUCCUUCGUUUUGAAUAGCUUUUUUUUUUUGCUUGUUUUCACUCGUAACUUUUGUCUUCGUUCUC
rnacentral:miRNA from 1 species